UGUCAUUUAAAAUGGCUAUAGAUCCUAGUAAAUCUUCACAUGGUCUCCCCUAAUCCCUUAACAAUCAUAUUAUAUUAUGAUUAGAUGUAAAUUUCACUUCCACUUGGAUUUAACUGGUCUAUAAUACACACAUCACAAUGUUCGAUUAUGCUCUAAGACAUUGCAUUCAACAUGGAACUUGUUCAUGGAAUUCAUGAAAUUGAAUAAUUCUUUUAGUGUUUUCAUUUCUGCAAUUGCUUUAAUACUUAAGGCCUCAUAAGAUUUUAGC
rnacentral:lncRNA from 1 species